CCCCUCUCCACAUACUCGCAAACCAAGAGUGAGUGUUGUGCUUUCGAACAAUAGCCGUAGAGGUUCACAAUGUUCCGGUGCUUAAUCCCAGUCAAUGCCCUUACUUCAUUGAUGAAGCUUUUGGGAUGUGUAUUCUGAAAUGAAGAAUGAAGUCUCUUCACAGCUAUAUUCCCUAAUGAUGGAAGGUUUACCUUGUAAACACUUCCGUGUCCUCCUUGCCCGAUGCAAAAUUUUG